rnacentral:rRNA from 1 species
GAUGAACGCUAGCGGCAGGCUUAACACAUGCAAGUCGAGGGGCAGCAGUGACGGAACCUUCGGGUUUUGUCGAUGGCGACCGGCGCAAGGGUGCGUAACGCGUGAGCAACUUGCCCGUUUCAGGGGGAUAACCGGUGGAAACGCCGACUAAUACCCCAUAGUAUCAUGAUCAGGCAUCUUUUCAUGAUUAAAGAAUUUCGGAAACGGAUAGGCUCGCGUGACAUUAGCUAGACGGCGGGGUAACGGCCCACCGUGGCUACGAUGUCUAGGGGUUCUGAGAGGAAGGUCCCCCCACACUGGAACUGAGACACGGUCCAGACUCCUACGGGAGGCAGCAGUGAGGAAUAUUGGGCAAUGGGCGCAAGCCUGACCCAGCAACGCCGCGUGAAGGAAGAAGGCUUUCGGGUUGUAAACUUCUUUUGUCAGGGACGAAUAAAUGACGGUACCUGACGAAUAAGCCACGGCUAACUACGUG